UACGGAGGGAGCUAGCGUUGUUCGGAAUUACUGGGCGUAAAGCGCACGUAGGCGGCUAUUCAAGUCGGGGGUGAAAGCCCGGGGCUCAACCCCGGAACUGCCCUCGAAACUAGAUAGCUAGAAUCUUGGAGAGGUCAGUGGAAUUCCGAGUGUAGAGGUGAGAUUCGUAGAUAUUCGGAAGAACACCAGUGGCGAAGGCGACUGACUGGACAAGUAUUGACGCUGAGGUGCGAAAGCGUGGGGAGCAAACAGG
rnacentral:rRNA from 1 species